GAUGAAGAACGGAGCGAAAUGCGAUACGUAAUGUGAAUUGCAGAUUUCAGUGAAUCAUCGAAUCUUUGAACGCACAUUGCGCCCGCCAGUAUUCUGGCGGGCAUGCCUGUUCGAGCGUCAUUUCAACCAUCAAGCCUUCGCUUGUGUUGGGGCCCCGCGGCUGCCGCGGUCCCCUAAAUCCAGUGGCGGGCUCGUCGUCGUACCGAGCGCAGUAGACAUCCUCGCUCCGGGAACCCGACGGGUGCCGGCCGUGAAACCCCCCACAUCAAGGUUGACCUCGGAUCAGGAAGGAAUACCCGCUGAACUUAAGCAUAUCAAUAAGCGGAGGA
rnacentral:misc_RNA from 1 species